GACGAACGCUGGCGGCGUGCUUAACACAUGCAAGUCGAACGGAAAGGCCCUGCUUUUGUGGGGUGCUCGAGUGGCGAACGGGUGAGUAACACGUGGGUAACCUGCCCUUGACUUUGGGAUAACUUCAGGAAACUGGGGCUAAUACCGGAUAGGAGCUCCUGCUGCAUGGUGGGGGUUGGAAAGUUUCGGCGGUUGGGGAUGGACUCGCGGCUUAUCAGCUUGUUGGUGGGGUAGUGGCUUACCAAGGCUUUGACGGGUAGCCGGCCUGAGAGGGUGACCGGCCACAUUGGGACUGAGAUACGGCCCAGACUCCUACGGGAGGCAGCAGUGGGGAAUAUUGCACAAUGGGCGGAAGCAUGAUGCAGCAACGCCGCGUGCGGGAUGACGGCCUUCGGGUUGUAAACCGCUUUCGCCUGUGACGAAGCGUGAGUGACGGUAAUGGGUAAAGAAGCACCGGCUAACUACGU
rnacentral:rRNA from 1 species